rnacentral:tRNA from 1 species
GUCCUAGUAGCUUAAUACAAAGCAUUGGCCUUGUAAGCCGAAGAUGGCAAUCAACCUCCCUACGACA